rnacentral:rRNA from 1 species
AUUGAACGCUGGCGGCAGGCCUAACACAUGCAAGUCGAACGGUAACAGGAAGAAGCUUGCUUCUUUGCUGACGAGUGGCGGACGGGUGAGUAAUGUCUGGGAAACUGCCUGAUGGAGGGGGAUAACUACUGGAAACGGUAGCUAAUACCGCAUAACGUCGCAAGACCAAAGAGGGGGACCUUCGGGCCUCUUGCCCUCGGAUGUGCCCAGAUGGGAUUAGCUAGUAGGUGGGGUAACGGCUCACCUAGGCGACGAUCCCUAGCUGGUCUGAGAGGAUGACCAGCGACACUGGAACUGAGACACGGUCCAGACUCCUACGGGAGGCAGCAGUGGGGAAUAUUGAACAAUGGGCGCAAGCCUGAUGCAGCCAUGCCGCGUGUAUGAAGAAGGCCUUCGGGUUGUAAAGUACUUUCAGCGGGGAGGAAGGGAGUAAAGUUAAUACCUUUGCUCAUUGACGUUACCCGCAGAAGAAGCACCGGCUAACUCCGUG